CCCCCUGGCCUAUGGAGGAGGGGUGGAGGGGAGAAGGAGGAGGAGCCCCAGUGCAUACGGAGGAGGAGGGAAGCCCAGUAAGAUGGCCAAAGCAGCAGCAGGGCUGGACGGUCUCUUCAGGAGGAACAGCACUGGACUUCUGGCCUCAGGCCCAGAGUCACCUCUACAGUCCAAGUUGCAUCAUUGACAACAACAGGAGACAUGGACAGAAUGUUGGGCAGCUGCAUGGACUAGUAUCUGUGACCUUUGACCCAAUGUCAUACCACAGGGCCCUGCCCUCUUAACAGUGAUGUCACUCAGCUCUGCACCUGUAUCCAGGAGGGGUUCUGGGACUUGGAGUUAUUGGUGGGUCAGAAUGAUUUGGCUCCUCCUCUCACACUGCCCAUUCCAUAUUAGGAUGUGUGGUUCCUCCCACAACCCCGCCCACACAUUGGUUAGCCAAUGGGAUGCAGAUGUAGUCUCCAUGGUUACAGGAUGAAACACUCAAAUCAAGACACUCAUCAUCACAAACUGCCCUCUCAUGCAUUUAGACAUUUAUCAACCAAUCAGUUGGUUUUGUUGUUGUAGCUUCCCGUUCCUGUGUGGUCAGGUGGCCAGGAAGGAAUUCCCAUGUCCAAAAACUUCCUCAGACAGACCUGUCUUGACAGCCCCAGCAGACAUCCCCUCCUCACCACACACACCCUUCUCUCCAGCAUGCCUGUGUUCAAAGUGCACUUACUCUCCUCCUCCUGGACUCCAGAGGCUUCACAACAACCUGUCUGUCACACAAGGGAAGACUUUAUACUGACACUUUUUCAUGAAAUGUCUUUCAAAAUAGGAAGAAUUCAGGUUAUCGAGGAUUGUUUUUAUUCUUCGUCUCAAAUGUUGCAACACAGAGUGUGUCAGGACCUACACCCUAAAUGGAAAAACGAUGGUGUUGGAUUUUUUUAUGUAUAAUAAUUUAUAAUUUCUUAAUAAUUUUCUUACUGACCAGAGUAGAGCUACAAAUGUUGAGCAAAAUUAUAUUUGUAUGUCAAUUUAAAAAGUAUUAUUAUUAUCAUAGAGUUAUUGUUGAAAAUGUGUACAUAUAUUUUAUUAUUUUUGUAUUCAUUAUUAAUCUCCCCUUACUAAAGCUAAAGUGUUUUACCCACUAGGUGACAUGUGCACGUACAGUGCACUCUUAAUACGAUGGUUAGUAUUUUUAAGGGUCCUUUUUGCCUGUGGUUCUCCCUUUUCACACUUCUUCCAAUGUUUCUACCUUUCAACAUGACUUAUUUCUCUUCCAUUGGUCUUUGACAGAUCUGUAUAUCUGCUUGAUUGAUAUGUACAUUACAGAAAUGUACAUAUGGUACUAGCCAACUUCUUUAAUACCGCUGGUUCCACUGCAGUGUGUUCUUCUGUUCUGUCAGUGAUGUAACCGCAUGGGCUGCAUCUCAAUAGUCUAAAGUGGCUUCUUCUCCUCGUCUCCACCUUCAUUUUCAGAUCAGUCCUUUUGAUAGGAAGUUACUUUAGAUUAUUUAGAUGCAUAUUUCAGAACAGUGGUAGUGCCCCUACUGUUGCAUAGAUGGGGGAGUCUAUUCAGUGGUUGCCUGAAUGUAGAAUAAUGCUUUUUAAGAUCCCCUCUCUUGUACUUUUUCUCAUAUGCCCAGAUCGUUAAUCUACUUCUAUUUAUAUAGAUAUUUGCUUCCCACAAAGUAUGAACUCUGUGGUGUGAAGACAUGCACAAUCAAGACAACUUCGUUUUUUUUAUUUGUAAUGAAUUUGGAAAAUGUUCUAUCAUUUUCUUUCACUUUGAAAAUGUCGAAGGUUUUGUAGAUCGGUAGGAAAAAAUUGAAUGUUUUAGAUUGAAUUGUAAGGCUGCAAAAUGCGAAGACUGUGCAAGGGGUGUGUAGACUUUCACUAGGCAGUGUAUAUAUUUGUAAAGGUGUUUUGUCAACAACAGUAAAUAUGAAGAUUAG